rnacentral:rRNA from 1 species
GAAAUUUGAGAGGAGCUGUCCUUAGUACGAGAGGACCGGGAUGGACAUACCUCUGGUGUACCAGUUGUCGUGCCAACGGCAUCGCUGGGUAGCUAUGUAUGGACGGGAUAAGUGCUGAAAGCAUCUAAGCAUGAAGCCCCCCUCAAGAUGAGAUUUCCCAACUUCGGUUAUAAGAUCCCUCAAAGAUGAUGAGGUUAAUAGGUUCGAGGUGGAAGCAUAGCGAUAUGUGGAGCUGACGAAUACUAAUCGAUCGAAGACUUAAUCAAAUU